rnacentral:misc_RNA from 1 species
GAUGAAGAACGUAGCGAAAUGCGAUACUUGGUGUGAAUUGCAGAAUCCCGUGAACCAUCGAGUCUUUGAACGCAAGUUGCGCCCGAAGCCACUAGGUCGAGGGCACGCCUGCCUGGGCGUCACACGCCGUUGCCCCCCCAUCUACUCCUUCGGGAUUGCGGGGGGGCGGAUGAUGGCCUCCCGUGCGCCUAGCCGCGCGGUUGGCAUAAAUACCAAGUCCUCGGCGACGCACGCCACGACAAUCGGUGGUUGCGAAACCUCGGUUGCCCGUCGUGUGCGUUCGUCGCGCAUCGAGGGCUCGAAAAAAUGCUCGGCUCCGGCUGGGCUUUCAACGCGACCCCAGGUCAGGCGGGGUUACCCGCUGAAUUUAAGCAUAUCAAUAAGCGGAGGA